rnacentral:rRNA from 1 species
GGGCCCGCACAAGCGGUGGAGUAUGUGGUUUAAUUCGAAGCAACGCGCAGAACCUUACCAGCCCUUGACAUGUUAGGUUUGAUUACCAGAGAUGGUUUUCUUCAGUUCGGCUGGCCUAAACACAGGUGCUGCAUGGCUGUCGUCAGCUCGUGUCGUGAGAUGUUGGUUAAGUCCCGCAACGAGCGCAACCCUCAUCUUCUGUUGCCAGCGGUUCGGCCAGGGCACUCUGGAGAAACUGCCUGCGAUGAGCAGGAGGAAGGCGGGGAUGACGUCAAGUCCUCAUGGCCCUUAUGGGCUGGGCUACACACGUGCUACAAUGGUAGUGACAAUGGGCUAAUCCCCAAAAAACUAUCUCA